rnacentral:rRNA from 1 species
GACGAACGCUGGCGGCGUGCUUAACACAUGCAAAUCGAACGGAAAGGCCCUGCUUUUGUGGGGUGCUCGAGUGGCGAACGGGUGAGUAACACGUGAGUAACCUGCCCUUGACUUUGGGAUAACUUCAGGAAACUGGGGCUAAUACCGGAUAGGAGCUCCUGCUGCAUGGUGGGGGUUGGAAAGUUUCGGCGGUUGGGGAUGGACUCGCGGCUUAUCAGCUUGUUGGUGGGGUAGUGGCUUACCAAGGCUUUGACGGGUAGCCGGCCUGAGAGGGUGACCGGCCACAUUGGGACUGAGAUACGGCCCAGACUCCUACGGGAGGCAGCAGUGGGGAAUAUUGCACCAUGGGCGGAAGCCUGAUGCAGCAACGCCGCGUGCGGGAUGACGGCCUUCGGGUUGUAAACCGCUUUCGCCUGUGACGAAGCGUGAGUGACGGUAAUGGGUAAAGAAGCACCGGCUAACUACGUG